UUUUGAAGGUGUGACCCUUUUUGUUCAUUUCUUCAGCAGUUACUUUUUAUUUUUUAAAUGUUUGACACACAGUCUCUGAUAAAUGAUCAUUCACCAAUCACCGAUUACUCUCCUUGCUCUGUUAAGUGUGACACUGUCCCUUUGAGAAUCUGGCGACAGCUAUGUAUCCCAUCACCACACACCCCAAAAAAAAAAUUUAUGUCUGGUUCCAGGAGUUACCUUUUAUGAGAAGUCCAUCUGUGAAGACCCUGGAUGUUCAGAGAACUUCCUGGGAAAACACUGAAAGAAAAUAAAGAGGCCGGGCCCGGUGGCUCAUGCUUGUAAUCCCAGCACUUUGGGAGGCUGAGGUGGGCAGAUAAGCUGAGGUCAGGAGUUCCAGACCAGCCUGGCCAACGUGGCGAAACCCCAUCUACUAAAAAUACAAAAAUUAGCUGGGCGUCGUGGCGCAUGCCUGUAGUUGCAGCUACUUGGGAGGCUGAGGCAGGAGAAUUGCUUGAACCCAGGAGGCAGAGGUUGCAGUGAACCAAGAUCAUGCUAGUACACUCCAGCCUGGGCAACAGAGUGAGACUCCAUCUCAAAAAUAAAAUAAAUAAAACAAAAUAAAAUAAAUACAAUUUCUGUUUCUAGCCCCUAAGUGGUAGCACUGGGUCUUGUUCCCUGAAAAAAACUAGGCUCAGAAUCCACUCUCAUUUCAUCUCCCCUGAUUUGAUCUGAAAAGAUUUUGUUUAGAGUACUACAUGAAUAUAUUAUAAAACAUGGGACAAUCAGAAUUGAUAGUAAGAAGGCAAGUGGCUCUAUUUGUACUUCCUCUCAAUAGCUCCUAAAGGUAAUGCUACCAUUUUCUGUUUGUACAUAGUCUUCCAGACUUUAAAUUUUUGAACAUAUAAAUAUUAUCAUCUUAAAGACGUAUGGAAAAAACCAUUUUGAAUAGGUUAUUCCAAAAUGUAAUUUAACAGAUUGCUCUGGAGGAUUGUUUGUUUGUUUGUUUUGGAGACAGAGUCCCGCUUGGUUGCUCAGGCUGCAGUGCAGUGGCACAAACACAGCUCACUGCAACCUCUAACUCCUGCAAACACAGCUCACUGCAACCUCUAACUCCUGCAAACACAGCUCACUGCAACCUCUAACUCCUGCAAACACAGCUCACUGCAACCUCUAACUCCUGCAAACACAGCUCACUGCAACCUCUAACUCCUGGGCUCAAGCAGUCCUUUCACCUCAGCCUCCUGAGUAGCUGGACCAUGACACCUACCUAACUUUUUAUUUUUUGUAAAGAGGGGAAUCACUAUGUUGCCCAGGCUGGUCUCAAACUCCUGGGCUCAAGCAAUCCUUCCUCAGCCUCUCAAAGAGUUGGGUUUACAGGCGUGAGCCACCGCACCUGGCUCCUGGAGCAUUUCUGAUGUGAACAUGUGCUGAUCUAACACCACUCCUUUUACCAGCUGCCUGUUCUAGAGCAAACCAUCUUUUUUGAGCAUUCCACUUUGGCUAGGCCCUUAGGCUGUUAGCAGUUUUCAUCGCUACUGGCAAAGCUGCAGUGGACGUUCUCCUGCACAUAUAACCUCUUGAUGCCACUGUAUGAGUGAGUCUCUGCAAAAUGAGAAGUAGAAUUGCUGGGGUGAAAGGCAUACAUACUAACUUUUUUGAUUAAUUCCACCCAUGUACCCUGAUUUGGGCAGAAUUUUAAUCUCACUGUGAAAUCAGAGCUUUGUUCUAGAGCCUUUCUUGGGGGUUCCAUGGAUCAGUGGGUCAGCCGUCACUUGUGCCCUGGCCCAUCCUCUGUCCAGCUUGGGCAGCAUGCAUCAUUCAUUCUGAUUCCUUAAUUUGCCAUAUGUGAAAACAUGGUAAUCUAUACAUUACUUGGGUGCUAUUAUUAUAUAUAACUAGCUUUGGAGUCAGAAUUAGCGUCUCAUCCUGGCUCUACCACUUUCCAACUGUGCGACUGUGGCCAAGUGACUCCCCUUCUCUGAGCCUCAGUUUUCCUCUUCUGUAAAAUGGGGGUAAAGGGAUAAGAACUAUAGGGGGAUCUCAGGGGAUGGUUAAGAGAAAUCCAUGAGAUAAGCAAACACAUUAUCUAGUUUAGUAAAGCUAAGCAAUGAAGACUUAACAGCCCCAUGGUGAAGGCUUAAUACAUGGUAGCUAUAAUGAUUACUAUUAAUAUUGUGAAAUAAAAGGUUGUGAUGAACC
rnacentral:lncRNA from 1 species